rnacentral:rRNA from 1 species
UCUUUCUUUUGCUGGCGACCGGCGCACGGGUGAGUAACACGUAUCCAACCUGCCCUUUACUCGGGGAUAGCCUUUCGAAAGAAAGAUUAAUACCCGAUAGUAUAAUGAUUCCGCAUGGUUUCAUUAUUAAAGGAUUCCGGUAAAGGAUGGGGAUGCGUUCCAUUAGGUUGUUGGUGAGGUAACGGCUCACCAAGCCUUCGAUGGAUAGGGGUUCUGAGAGGAAGGUCCCCCACAUUGGAACUGAGACACGGUCCAA